GAUGAAGAACGCAGCGAAAUGCGAUACGUAAUGUGAAUUGCAGAAUUCAGUGAAUCAUCGAAUCUUUGAACACACAUUGCGCCCGCCAGCACUCUGGCGGGCAUGCCUGUUCGAGCGUCAUUUCAACCAUCAAGCCCCAGGCUUGCGUUGGAGCCCUGCGGCUGCCGCAGCCUCCUAAAAGCAGUGGCGGGCUCGCUAUCACACCGAGUGCAGUAGAUUACUCUUCGCUCAGGGCGUGCAGCGGGUUCCGGCCGUGAAACCCCUACUUUUAAAGGUUGACCUCGGAUCAGGUAGGAAUACCCGCUGAACUUAAGCAUAUCAAUAAGCGGAGGA
rnacentral:misc_RNA from 1 species